CAUGUUAAAUAUCGAAAAACCUGUUAUAGCUAAAGAUAACACUUAAACCUCAUACUGGGUAAUCAGUUGGCCUCUGCCUUUUAGCUGUAUACACUACUGAGCACCACAGGGUUUACAAGAGUCUUGAAAAAGAGAAUUAAGUGAUUAAGUAAAAGUCAGAAAACACCAUUCAAGACAUCAGCCAUGAAGCUAAUUCUGAUUGCUGCCGUUGUUUUUGGGUUUCUUUCCCUGGUUUGUUUCCAACAAUCAGAAGCUCAUCCCAUUGCUUGGUUCGCACGUAUUGCUGCUACUCUUUCCAUGAAGCUCAUCAAGAACUCCUACUAUGCUCGUUGCAAUACCCGCAUUGUUCCUUCUCAUUUGAAAUGCCCUGGCGUAGUGUUCGGAUGGGGAAUGAGCCGUAAUGCAGCCCAAAAAGCAGCAAGAUUAUAUGCUGACGCAAUUGGAGACACGGGAUGUGGUCAAUAUGUUGGCCAUUGCGAUAUUCGCAAACUCGUCAAAACAAAAGGAAAAUAAGCGGAGAAAACCUCUGAACUUGAAAAUGAUUCAGUUAGAAUAAAGUAAAGUAGGGUAAAAAGAAAAAAAUGAAUAAUUGAUUGUAUGAAGACAAAUAGAAGUUUAAAGCAUUAAAUGAAGUAGUCAUUACUUGAAUCAAUAAACACUUGAGACCACUCUUA